UGCAGGAGCUGUUCUGAAUAUGUCUAUGUGAUUUUUAGCUCAGGCCCAUACCACACGUUUUUUGGUCAGUGUGUGUGUGUAAGGGCAGGAGCUCAGUUGCGCCCCCGCAGGUCAUGCACUCACAGUGCCACACACACUUAUUCCAAAUAUGGACAUUUCCUGGUCCUCAUAAGGAAGGAUUUCAACGGAACAUACAUUUAUGGUGUGUUUACAUGGAAAUCAGUUCAAUGGACAAGAAAGAAGAUUAUUUUCAGCAGAUACCAGCUAAGGAGCUUAAAACUUGGAUGAAGGAGCAAAAGUCAAACCCAAGUUUAAAAUGCCACCACGGAUCAGUCCCCUUAGGGAUGCCAUAGAACAUGUGGUUUCAAAAACAGACAAAACAAGCAAGUUGGAGGUGAAGUACAUUAAUGCAGUAAAAGGACGUGGAGUAUUUGCAAAGAGUUCUAUUUGCAAAGGAGAUUUUCUUGUUGAAUAUCGAGGAGAUAUGAUAAAUGAAGCAGAAUCCCAGAGAAGAAGAAACAUUUACCACCCAUCAUGUACUGUAUUUAUGUUUGACUUCAAGUGGAAAGGGAAACUAUGGUGGUAAGGCUUCUGUUUGCUCCAAAACUAUAAUAUACCAUGUGGCUUAAAUCGGGCUAGUUAUGGUUGGUUUAAACUGGUCCUGUCAAUGUUGUCAAGAUGGUCAAGCUGAAUACCCACUUGAUAAUGAUGAUUAUGCAACCCGAUUGGUCACAGGGGUUGAGUUGUAUGGUCUUGAUGGCUGACCACAGUGGUCAUGCUACUAAUAGUGGUGGAUGAACUUGGUUAUGCUGAUAAUGCUGGUUUAAUUGAUUGCUUAUGCCCGGUCAGCCAGCUUGGCCAUAAUAAUUGA